rnacentral:rRNA from 1 species
AUUGAACGCUGGCGGCAGGCCUAACACAUGCAAGUCGAGCGAGCGGCGGACGGGUGAGUAAUGUAUGGGGACUGCCCGAUAGCGGGGGAUAACUACUGGAAACGGUAGCUAAUACCGCAUACUAUCGGAUAACCCAUAUGGGAUUAGCUAGUAGGUGAGGUAAUGGCUCACCUAGGCGACGAUCCCUAGCUGGUCUGAGAGGAUGAUCAGCCACACUGGGACUGAGACACGGCCCAGACUCGUACGGAGGCAGAAGUGGGGAUGAGUGCAACAUGGGCGCAAGCGUGAUGCAGCCAUGCCGCGGGUAUGAAGAAGGCCCUAGGGUUGUAAAGUACUUUCAGUCGGGAGGCGUUACCGACAGAAGAAGCACCGGCUAACUCCGUGCCAGCAGCCGCGGUAAUUC